rnacentral:lncRNA from 1 species
CUGUCACGUGGCACCCAGACACGUGGAUACACUUGCCUGGGUGCCCUGCCCCUCAGAGGUUCCCUGCCACGUGGAGAUGGCCAGUCUGCAGUGGGACUGCACCAGGCAGAAGCCUGGAUCAGAGUUAGAACAGAGGAGGGAUUCCUGGUUCCACUCCAAAGUCCUCGUCUACUCCUGAGGUCACUAGGACCACUUCCCCAAGCCCUUUUACCAUUUUCCUUUUUCUGCCUGAACUUGUUUGAAUUCAGUUUCUGUCCUUUGCAACUGAGAAGUUCUAAGGAGCGCAAUCCCAUCUUGAAAGCUUUCUGUGGCUGCCUUGCAGGGGGUGGGGGUGGGGGACAGGUGUCUUGUGUUGGCAUUGAGAGACCCCCUCCCCCGACACCUAAUUCCAAGCCACUUCCUCCCACAGAAAUUCAGGCCCUGCACUUGGAGCUCCUCCAAGGUGCAGGCACCUGCAGGGAAAUUCCAGGCCCCACGUUUCCCCCCAGUGUGUGAGUGUGUGUGUUGCAGCUCCAGGGGAAAAUGGAAAGAAAAGAAAACUUCCGGCAGAAAUAACCACAUUUGUUUAUGGCCUAUUUAUUCAUUGAUCUGCUCUUCAGGAAGCUAAGUUCCUAUUUUUAGCACCUCCCAGGCACAAAAGUGCAUUUUUCUUUUUCCCUUGAGCGUUCUUAAAGAGUUGACAGUUCUCAGCCUAUGAACUGCAGAGUCAUGUCCUGCAUCCAACGGGUUGACAGUUGGGGCCCCCAGCCCCCAGGAAUAUUUACAAGGCCUUUGAAAACUGUCCUUGGACUGCAAGGAGAUCCAACCAGUCAAUCCUAAAGGAAAUCAACCCUGAAUGUUCAUUGGAAGGACUGAUGCUGAAGCUGAAACUCCAAUACUUUGUCGACUUGAUGAGAAGAACUGAUUCAUUGGAAAAGACCCUGAUGCUCAGAAAGAUUGAGGGCAGGAGGAGAGGGGGGGCAACAGAUGACAGGAUGGUAGGAGGGCAUCACCAGCUCAAUGGACAUGAAUUUGAACAAACUCCAGGAGAUAGUGAAGGAUAGGGAGGCCUGGCGUGCUGCAGACCAUGGGGUCACAAAGAGAUGCGGCCUAGUGAGUGAACAACAACAUAGAAUUUAAAGAGUCUUUCACUCAAUAAGAACAUUUUUUAAAAUAGUCACAAGGCAAUAAAGGUGGAUAAGAGUGGCCA